CCUACGGGAGGCAGCAGUGGGGAAUAUUGCACAAUGGGCGCAAGCCUGACGGAGCAACGCCGCGUGAGUGAAGAAGGUCUUCGGAUCGUAAAGCUCUGUUGAUGGGGACGAACGUGCCUAAUGCGAAUAGUAUUAGGUAAUGACGGUACCCAUCGAGGAAGCCACGGCUAACUACGUGCCAGCAGCCGCGGUAAUACGUAGGUGGCGAGCGUUGUCCGGAAUCAUUGGGCGUAAAGGGAGCGCAGGCGGGCAUGUAAGUCUUUCUUAAAAGUGCGGGGCUCAACCCCGUGAUGGGAAAGAAACUAUGUGUCUUGAGUACAGGAGAGGAAAGCGGAAUUCCCAGUGUAGCGGUGAAAUGCGUAGAUAUUGGGAGGAACACCAGUGGCGAAGGCGGCUUUCUGGACUGCAACUGACGCUGAGGCUCGAAAGCCAGGGGAGCGAACGGGAUUAGAUACCCGAGUAGUC
rnacentral:rRNA from 1 species